AUUGAACGCUGGCGGCAGGCUUAACACAUGCAAGUCGAGCGGGGUGAUGGUGCUUGCACUAUCACUUAGCGGCGGACGGGUGAGUAAUGCUUAGGAAUCUGCCUAUUAGUGGGGGACAACAUCUCGAAAGGGAUGCUAAUACCGCAUACGUCCUACGGGAGAAAGCAGGGGAUCACUUGUGACCUUGCGCUAAUAGAUGAGCCUAAGUCGGAUUAGCUAGUUGGUGGGGUAAAGGCCUACCAAGGCGACGAUCUGUAGCGGGUCUGGGAGGAUGAUCCGCCACAGUGGGACUGAGACACGGCCCAGACUCCUACUGGAGGCAGCAGUGGGGAAUAUUGGACAAUGGGGGGAACCCUGAUCCAGCCAUGCCGCGUGUGUGAAGAAGGCCUUAUGGUUGUAAAGCACUUUAAGCGAGGAGGAGGCUCUUUUGGUUAAUACCCAAGAUGAGUGGACGUUACUCGCAGAAUAAGCACCGGCUAACUCUGUGCCAGCCGCCGCGGUAA
rnacentral:rRNA from 1 species